rnacentral:lncRNA from 1 species
CUGAAAAUAUCUUUGAACUAAGAUUCAAUUGACCUAGUUGCUAGUAAAUUAAACAUCAAAAGGCUGGACUCUGGAAAAAAGCAGAAUAAUGUCUGCUGCUACUGCAAAUUAACAACAUACAUCAUUGACCUGUAAUUCGGGAAACAGGCAGCCGGAGCCUCAGACCCGUAGUCGCUGCCGUACUUAAAGCCGGAUUCGAUGCCAAACUGCCGGCAGGCGUCUGGCUUUGGAUUUUGGCUCCGUUUAGUUUUGUCUGGCGCUUGCCAUAUCCGAUGAUAUAAAAAUUCCGAAGACAGGGAAUUGUGAUAGGUAUCACCGCCUUUGGGAAACACCCCUCAAACAGAAUGUAAUUC